GACGAACGCUGGCGGCGUGCUUAGCACAUGCAAGUCGAGCGGUAAGGCCCUUUCGGGGGUACACGAGCGGCGAACGGGUGAGUAACACGUGGGUGACCUGCCCUCAGCUCUGGGAUAAGCCUGGGAAACUGGGUCUAAUACCGGAUAUGACUCCAUGACGCAUGUUGUGGGGUGGAAAGCCUUGUGCGGCUGAGGAUGGGCCCGCGGCCUAUCAGCUUGUUGGUGGGGUGAUGGCCUACCAAGGCGACGACGGGUAGCCGGCCUGAGAGGGCGACCGGCCACACUGGGACUGAGACACGGCCCAGACUCCUACGGGAGGCAGCAGUGGGGAAUCUUGCGCAAUGGGCGAAAGCCUGACGCAGCGACGCCGCGUGAGGGA
rnacentral:rRNA from 1 species